ACGUAGUUUUCCAUAGGUUGUGGGACAUAUAGUUUUCUAAACUGUGCUAGUUGCGUUUAUCUUUUGAUAUGAGUUCAAACCAGGACACAUAUAAUCAUUUAACGAAUACUAAGUAAGAUUUAUUAUCGUAUUGUGUCAAGUAACUAUGCCUAUUACAGUCAGAUUUGGAUAAAUUAGUUGUUUAUUUGGCUUAAAAUGUACUACAAGUACCAUGAUGUCAUAAGGUGAAUGCACCAAUUUGUAAGUCGCUCUGGAUAAGAGCGUCUGCUAAAUGACUUAAAUGUAAAUGUAAAUGAUGCGUUUUGGUUUUGCACAAAUCAACCUUAUUUAUUUAUUAAUUUACCUGAAUAUGUUUUACAUUUAUACACUUCUAGAACAGAGUAUGUGCAAUACAAGUGUAUGCUAAUGAAUCUCUAACGCUGUGUCAAAAGAUUAACGGUACAUGCAUGAGGAGACAGCAACAUAUAAGGAUUCAUUCAUUUUAUGUUGGCAACAUUAGCUAGUAUUAGCCACUAGCUAGCUACAUUGUAAGUCUUCCCAAAUUCGAGAAACAUUUUGUUGUAAUCAAUGUCAACAUAUAUUUUAUUUGGCUUUACUGCUAUUAGCCCAUACAAACGCAUUGAAUAAUAGGUUCACCACAUGGAACAACAGCUAGUCCCCCCCCCCCCCCCCCCGAAAUAUCUAACGUAAGUUAUUCUUUCCAUAAUAGUUUGUAGGCCAAACCGUUUGGACGCUACAUACGAUUUUGUGAGAAGACCGAUUUUCGGGAUGUCUCGUGGCCUGACAAAAACCGCUUUACCGCUGUCAACUUUCACCGCAGAUGCGACAUAGGUGGAGGAUAACAGAUCUCUACUUUAAAUGGACGGAUUUUGAUGUGGAUUUGGCAUUAUGCUAAUUCGAUUUUCACAGGGACGCGGACAUCGAGGUGCAUGUACACUAGAUAGUGGUAAAUUGGCGAGUGAUGCUUAGGCCGCCCAUUGUAACUCGCUUGCGGUCGUGCUGGCAGCAUAUGGCAGCCUUCUCGAUUGUGAGUCAAUAAUUCAGCAUAGCAAGUUUGUUUGAAGGUCUUGUUAUUAAAUGGGUACAUAGCUCAAUAAUAAUAUCCUCUAAAACGCUCUGGUGACAAACAAACUUUGCUGCCCUGUUUCCAAUUGUCCGCAUGGCUGGGUAACCUAUUCAUUUUAAAAAUAUAUAUUUCGAAAAUGUAAAAAAUAUAUAUAUGUAUUAUUAGCUCACUAGCUACAGUGUACACUGUAAAAAAAACUCCAAAUGCAUUCGUAGGUAGGCAGCUAACGCCAUGGAGUAUGGUAAAAGGAUAGCAGCCCCAACUGUCAAGGUGAGAGAAUCGGCUAUUCUGGAUAGGGCAGCUACUUUUGUGUAGUUCCUUUCCCUAGAAGUGAGGAUGGAGAUAAUAGUAACAAUAUUCAGUGCGGUGUAAUUUGACUAUAAUAAAGUCGGUUUCUUGUGAGUUUUUCUGUCCUCAGAUAAAGAGAGUUACAGUAUGAAAGCCUGUCUACAUAUUAAGAGGUCCCAAUGAAGAGCAGUGGUUCUCAGUCCUGGUCCUGGGAACUCAAAGGGGUGCACAUUUUUGUGCACACACAGAUUCCUGUUGUACACUGUCUCUUUAACUACCUUAUUUUCUCAAUAAGUCUCUCUUCUUCCCUUCAUCCCUCUCUCCUCUUCUGUCUAAAUCCUCUAGGUUAUAUCAGCUGUGUCAGUGAACCCCUCAUGCAUUUGAACUGGCUACAUAUAGGGCACAGCAUGAUCAGUAGUGAGAGGUCACUUGGUCAGGUCAACAGGAAGUAUUAUUAAAAAGAUGCAGUAGUCCCAGAGUUAAUGAUCCAAGAUAUGUUUUGAUGUGAAAGAGGAUGCCAACCCCCCAGUCCCAUCAUCGCCCUCACCCGCUUUUAAGAUAACCUUCGGGCAGAUGAAACACUAUUAUGUAAUUGUGAUCAACUGAGAGAAUAUUUGGGUAUCACUGUGAUUCAGUAAUCAUAUGCUGCCUUCCCUGCUCCUAUGUUCUUACCUCUUUCCCUUUCUGUCUUUUACACCUCUCUCGCCACCACCUCUUUCUUCCUGUUAUUAUAAUGCACAACAGAUGUGCAGUAAAGUACAGAUUGAACUUGUAUUUAUAAUAUUACAAUUAGAAUAUUUAUAAUGCAUGUAUUUAUAACACUUGGAUAAUAAACUUUCAAUAAAGCGUUUCACAUUCUC